UUUUGAAGAAAUGUAUUUCGUGGAAUUGAACUUUGUAUAUUGAUGAAUAUAGUGGAUACAAUCUCUAGUAUUUACUCAUUUGAUGCUUUAUCUCGAAUACAAGUUAAAACUUAGAACUUCUUGAUCUUCGUUAUUUAGGAUGUUGUAGUUGCAAGUGACUUUGAAUUAUGAUCUUCUGAAAUCCAAAGAAAGUUAAUCUUUCGAGUCUUCAAUCUUUUAGAAGUUGUUGAUCUUGAGGUUGAUACGAACUUACACGUCUUGAGAGCUUGUAGAAGUUUGAAUCUUCAAUUCUUCAGAGCUUCAGUACUUCAGAGUUUCAAUUCUUC
rnacentral:lncRNA from 1 species